rnacentral:rRNA from 1 species
AUGUGGGCGCCAUGCCUACACAUGUCGGCAGGCGAUGGGCGGUCCUUCCAAAACAACAAGUUCUUCGUUCUUCGGAACAAGGCGCCUGCACCUCGUGAAGAGGAUUUGCGGCAAGAGCUCCGCCAACUCCAAGACCAGAUGAGCCACCUUCAAAGGCGGCUUGAAGGUCAUGAAGAUCGUGCGGAGUCAUCCGCACAGGGGGCAAGCAGGACCCGGCGCCUACCCCAAAAUCAUCGCCCCCAACACGAGCGCCAAACUUUGGAGCCCCGUCGACGGACUUCUCCAACACCAGCCGUCUUGCGGGGGGCUAACGCAGUGCCGCUGCGCGGAAAUAGGUGUCCGUGGCACCGAGGCGAUUCCUCGGGCCGCGACCAAGCGACACAAGGGCGAGCACAGAGCCCUCCUAGGGCUUCGGCCCCUAUCCGGGUCCCAUCUCCUCCCAGGCAGGCGAACCAAGUGUAG